rnacentral:rRNA from 1 species
UCGCUCCUACCGAUUGAGUGAUCCGGUGAAUAAUUCGGACCGCAGCAACGUUCAGCUCCUGAACAUUGCAAUGGAAAGUUUGGUGAACCUUAUCACUUAGAGGAAGGAG